AUACUUACCUGGCAGGGGAGAUACCGUGAUCAAGAAGGCGGUUCACCCAGGGCGAGGCUCAGCCAUUGCACUUCGGCUGUGCUGACCCCUGCGAAUUCCCCAAAUGUGGGAAUCUCGACUGCAUUUUUUUUUUUUUUUUUUUGGGGGGCAGUGGUGGCCUAGC
ensembl:snRNA U1 U1 spliceosomal RNA